GACGUAGGGCGCGAGCGUUGUCCGGAUUUAUUGGGCGUAAAGAGCUCGUAGGCGGUCUGUUGCGUCGGCUGUGAAAACCCGGGGCUCAACCCCGGGCCUGCAGCCGAUACGGGCAGACUAGAGUUCGGCAGGGGAGACUGGAAUUCCUGGUGUAGCGGUGAAAUGCGCAGAUAUCAGGAGGAACACCGGUGGCGAAGGCGGGUCUCUGGGACGGUACUGACGCUGAGACGCGAAAGCGUGGGGAGCGAACAGG
rnacentral:rRNA from 1 species